UUACACUGAGCGUCCGAUAUGAUAAGUGGAAGGCGAAUUCGGAUGCGCGAAUGAAUAAGUUAAUACGACCUGGAGAUGGAGUGCAUGCCUUAAACGAAACGAUGAAUCGGGCAGAUGAUGAUCAUGGGCUGAGUCAACGUGUUAAACGGUUGAUAGUGAGUCAGCGCUGGAGGUCCCACUUGCUGUCGAGAUGUCCGGUCGGUGGCUGCGGCUGCUGGCAGGCCUUCUCGACGAACCAACCUAACCUCCUAACUCUCAGUGGGUUUUUACAUUGUUUUGUGGUCCAAGGCCUGUGUCCAUGCUGCACUGGCUGUAAAACAAAACAAUGAAGCAAGUGGGACGUAGGGCGUUGAUCGCUCAGGGAUGCGUGUAUCGCUGGCCGCUCAGGGAUGCGUGUAUCGCUGGCCGCUCAGGGAUGCGUGUAUCGCUGGCCGCUCAGGGAUGCGUGUAUCGCUGGCGAUCGCGGUGCAAUGCACUGGAGACACGUGUGUUCCUUGCGUGCAUGCGUGAGCUCACGCUCUUGUCUAGUGACGUGUCGCUAGUAGAGCAUACUCCUUGACGCUCCGUGGAGUUGAGUGCCGACCCUGUGGUGCUUGACGAACGGAGCGUCGGACAGCUUCUCACUCGUGUUUGUGUUAGUGUACAAAGUCAGUUGUAGCUUUUGAGUGUGUUUGAGUGAAGGUAGAAUUCACCGUUCUUCUGUUUAACUGUUUUUGUUAAGUGGCAAACAGCCUGUGCUAUAUGUAUGUGUUUCCAGUAAUAUUUCAUUUAUGAAUAUUUCAUUACAAAUUUGUUUGAAUAAUUUACUUCACUUUUAGUGUGCACCAAGAUAAUUUGUGUGUGUGAUUUUUGGUUAUUGUAUUUCAAACUUUUUGAGAAAUAAUUUUUAUAUUUUUAGAUAUUAUAACGUAUUUCAGUGUCGGAUAAGUAGUUUUUCAAUGAUAUUUGUAAGUAACAUGCUGUUUUUUUAAAUUAGAAUUUUAGAAAUGAAUGGCAUUAGUUAUAUUUUACUACGCUCAUAACGUAGUGUGCACUUGGCGGUGCCACACUGACUGGAAUUAUAAGCAAAUACAUUUUUAUGAAUUAACUAGAAUUUCGGUUCUUGAGUAAUAGAUGUGAAUAUUGAAGUAUCUCGAAAUGUCUGCUUUGUAAGGUAAGAUUUUCUUACACAAUUAUUAUUUUGACUUUUGAAUAAUUUAGUGUUAACAUUGAAUUAAUUUGUUUUUUUUAUCAGGAUCAAUUUUAUUGAACUAACUAACUUCUUUCAACACAAUUGAGUACAUUUAAAAAUAGUAAAUAUUACAAAUGUUUCUGUUGCAAGCUGUAUAUGUUUGGAUAUUCAUUGCUGCCAACAGCCUUUCCAAAAUAUUUUGAAUGUGGUAAAGCAAGCAUUGCUGAACAUGCAUGGUUAUGCCAUGCAAGUUAUUAAUAUAAAUUACAUUAGAAUUGAAAUAUAACUUAAGUAUUUUCCUUAAAAAUUCUAUAACUAUACCGGCAGGUUAUUGUUAUUAAAUAAAUUAUACUUAAUGAAAAAUAGACACGUAAGUAAAAUAAUUAUUAAAUAUAAUUUAAUAGUUAAUAAGAAAUGAAAAUUAUUAACAAUUAUGUAUUUAUCAAAACUUUAUAUGACGUGUUUUUGACCGGGACUACUGGUUGACCUUAAGGCGAUUGGUGCACGGUAAAAAACUGUCACAGACCCGAAAGCAAUGAAUUUUGUAUCAUAUGAUCAUUAAAGAGUCUAGAUGCCUAUGUGGGUGACUGUUAGUAUGUAGGGAGGUCAGGAGCUUAGUUCCAGCUCGUCAGUGGCGAGAUGGCCUUCAUACGGGAAGGGUGUUGCUGGUGGUCGCUCUGCGGCCUGCCAUCUAGGAGGAAUUAACAGAAUCUCGAAGGUUUUAUCUCCCUCUCCCUCUAACACACAGCCGAUAGGGUUCUAUCGUGCCCGGAGGAGGGGAAGGUUUAGCAGGUUUUCUCUUUCACUCAUCCUUCGCCAUGGGGAGGCGGAAUGGAUUAUUUAUUUGUUCGCAACUGCGCACGUCAUGUGGCUGAGAGCGCACAUAUUCUCACUCAACUCACUCGUUCUCUCACACUAUUUCAAUAAAUCUUUUCAAAUCUUCAACAUCAAUACUUUAAACCAUUGCGCUUCCUACGGAUUAAUUAUAUUUCAUGCACGUGCCUGAAUUCAGCUGCAAAAAAAUAAAACGGGUAGUCAAUUUUUUUCUUCAAAAACCUUCCGAAACACUGUGUGUUAAGAAACAUUCUGAAAGCCCAUUUUUCUAGAUAAAUGGAAAUUCUAAAUCACCUACGCCACAAGGAAACAUUGUGCUUUAAUAUUAUGUUAAGAAAACACCUCUUAGUUUUAUAGUUAUGUAAAGGUGGUGUGAUAUGUUUUAGAUGUCGCACCAUCUUAUCAUCCAUGUAGAAGAGUUACCCGAAAAACUAACAAGACUAUUGCCAUGGAAAUUGAAAUAUGGUUAAGGAAAUAUUUUUCAAAUGUUUGUAAACAGUAAACAACAUAUAAAAAAUCUUAUAAAUGUAAAAUUAAAAUACAAACAACCCUAUAGCAAAUUUAAUUUCAAUAUGAAAAAGUCUACAAUAAUGUUUACAAGAAACGAAAUUGCAAUAACAAUACAAAAAUAUCGCAAUUUUGUUACGUUGUUAACAUAUAUAUUAUUUUUAAUAAAGGCAAUAAAAAUGGCAUACUCAAUAUUUGGAAUACAAUAAAUACCUUAAGCCCUACAUAAUUGCUGCAAUAUUCACAAUAAAUGCUUUUCUUAAAUAUAGUAAUUAAAAAACAUCGUAAAUAAAUUAUGAACAUACAUAUUAUGGUGAAGGAAAGUGGACACUAUCACACUGAAAAAUCUUAGAGGGUAGUUUUCCUCAUCUUAUUUCUUUCUUUGCGUUUUUGGUCUUGUUCGUUAAAAUAUUUCAUGUUCAAAUACUUGAUACGCAUAUAUGUUCUUGUCCUGACAAAACAGUAUAUAACUUCUUCUGGAUAUUUAUUUUCAGUAGUUCCGCAAAUAAUUUUAGUCAGUGAUUCAAAAAUCCGCUCUUUUUUGCACAAAUUGUUGCCAUGAACAUUAUCAAAACACAUUUCAGCAAUCUUUAUUAAUUCCAAAAAUUCAUUAGUGGGACAUUUUAAGUUACCCUUUGAUUGUACAUGUAUCCAGCUAUCGUCCUCCGAAUUGAAAUCCGUAGUGCCAAGGUCAGGAUAUUUAUUUCUGAAACGAUGAGCUAUAUAGCCAGAAACAUAUUUCAGCCCUUCAAGAGAAAUUUCGUCACUUGAAAGGGACCUGGCCUCUAAAUCUAAGUCUAUUUCUUCCAUGUCAGCAAGAUCUAUUUCAUUUAAAGGUGAUUUCUCUUGAAAUGUCUUUGUAAAAUACAUUUCCUUGCACAAAAGUAGUUCUGUAAUUUCAUUCUGAUAAGCACUGUCCUGUUCCAUUUCAUUUGACGAAAAAUCACUUACCAAACACAUUUCGUCUGUCUUCUCAUCCGUGUUUUUCCGUUCAGCAAAAACUGCUGCAGAAUGUUUUCACAAUAUGUAGUUUAUAAUUCUGUAUCUAAAGUCAAUGGGCGACAGAUGCGUAUUUUGAUGUCCCAUACCUCUAAUAUACGGAGAGAGAAAAAACCACUCUAACACAUCUUAGUUCAGUUUAACUGUUAACUAAUAUUUAGGUUAACAGGUCCUAUACAUAUUUCCGAAUGUUUUACUGACUGAUUUAUACUGGACAUUAAUUAAAUUGAUCGCUGAUAUUUAUACUUUUAAACAAAAUUUUGGAUUUAUCAUUCUAUGUAAACUCUAAUGCGUUAAAAAGUGUAACGCAACACUACACACAGGUAGUGAUGUCUAGUGCACUGCCCUAUGCACAUUAGUUAACAAAAAAAUAAAAUGAAAUAUUAAUUACUGAUAAAUAAUACCUUGAUGUCGUGAUACAAGUAACACAUGCUUAUCUGAUAUUUAUCUCAAUUAGAAUACGAAAUAGGAAGACAAAAUAAUUAACUGAUUUUAAGACUGAUUUAUUACUUACACAGUACAGUGCAUUUUGAAGACAAAUGGGUCUUAAGAAGCGAAAAUCGUACUUGAUUAAAGGAUGGUAUGGUGUUCGGUAUAUUAAGGUUUCCCUCAAAGUAACGGUUUCACAAUGCUUUUAAGAUAUUAGUUACAUCCCAACAUAAGUUUAAAACAUUUCUCUUAAGAGUGUGCUUCGUAGCAUUAAAAGAUGUGCCUUAAUUAUUUUGCAAAUUUAUCAUUGUUAUGGUGACAAUGUCAGGGGUUUUCGUAAUUUUUUUUAAAAAUAUAGUACAGUAUUAGCAACUACGUUAAGAACUGUUAUUUUAUUCACACAGAGAAAAGAAAUACAAAAUGCUAAAAUUUGGCGUUUGUCUUUUAAUAUACUAUAUAGGUUUGUUAUUAUAUGUGUGUUGUAACAUGUAUAAAAAAUUUAAAUAUAUUCAACAAUAAUUGGUAAUUAUAUAUAUUAAAAAACUUUUAUGUACGUGACUUGAAACUACGUGAAAGGUUUUCAGUCUAUAAAGGCCUAUUCUAUGAUUUUUUUAAAAUUUUUAAUUCUUAUGCAAACAAUUAAUAAAAUUGAAAGUUUCUUACAUUGUCAGUAUAUGCAUAGCAUUACAGUUAUUCCAAACAAUUCUCUACCAGUGUUUACCUAAGGUAUGUAUGUUACGUUGGUUCUUCUACUAAUACACGUAUAUUACAAGAGGUUUGUAAUAGAUUAAAUGAGGUAAGUAAGAAUUCGUUUUUAUAAACGUUGUGUAUGAAAUUAUAAAUUUUGAGACGUAUAAUAACAAAAAGAAGUGCGUUCCGAAGACAUAUGUCGGUAGUGUUACCCACUGAAACAUUAUUCCCACUUCAACUCUCUGUAAAAAUAAAAGUAUGGGGUUGAAUGCGUUAAAAGGGGUAUAUAAAUAAAAUUUGAGGCUUCUUCCUUAUUUCAUACGCUGGUGUCCCCCCACUUAUAAUUGCAAACAAAAAUUUUUCCUCGAUGUUGUAAUUUACUCUGUGUAUUCACAAAAUUUUUUGGCAGUAAAUAUGUAUUUAAUUUUUAAAAAUGAAAGCAUUCAUGUUUCGAAAAAAAUAUUAAAGCGAUGUGGGGAAAAAUGUUUACAGAUACUCCAGUAAAAUUUUCAGUUUGAUUGUUUUGAUAGUUUCGGAGCUGUUGCGAGUUUAGUUUGGAGGAUUUUUCGGCCACGCGAGGCAAUUUUGGUUCUUUUUCGUUUUCUUCCAGCGUAGGAAGCAGGGAACAAAAGCCGAUACCCGCCGGGCGAGCAUGGUUCUCUUUUUCGCCCGUCAUAGGGUUGACGCGUCAUCGGUAUGACGCUUCGCUACUAAAAGCGAGCAUGGAUCUUUUUUCGCCUUCUGGAAGACGCCUUAGCUACGACAUGCCCGUCAUAGGUAAGGCGCAAUGGCUUGCCAGUCAUAACCCCGUCAUACAGCAGACUACGUGUGUAACUUUCAUUUAAUACUGGGAAAUAAUUCUUUCAAAUGAGUUAAAUAAUAUAUUUUCGUGAAAUUUAAGGUUUUGCCUCAAUUCUAUUUACUCAGAAAUUACGUGUGUGAGAUAUACGAUGUAUCUAAAAAAAAAAAAGUUAUGUUUUUCUCUGAACAAACUUCGAAACAACUUGUUUCCGAUAAUAAUCACGCCGUAUAAAUAAAUAGUUUCUAUGUUUCAUGUGAAUAAGACACACUGAUUCUUUUUUCUCGUUAUUUUUAACUGCACAAUACUAGGUUUACCAAAA